CAUUGAUUCUGGAGGGAAUUGUGCAAACGAAAAACAACAACAUUCCUAUCAUCGAUGCAGAUAUUAUCAAAAUGAUUUAAUAACAGUCAAAUGAUCAGAUUUGAUUUCUUCUCCAUAAGGCAGCAGUGACUCAUUAGUAAACAGGACUGUAAACACUAAUGCAUGGCUUUUCUUUAGUGCAAAUGUGUGUUGGGCUGGGCAGUAGCAGUGUGUUGGGCUGGGCAGUACAGUAGCAGUGUGUUGGGCUGUACAUAGUGUGUGUGUUGGGCAGUACAGUAGCAGUGUGUUGGGCAGUACAGUAGCAGUUGUUUGGGCUGGGCAGUAGCAGUGUGUUGGGCUGGGCAGUAGCAGUGUGUUGGGCUGGGCAGUAGCAGUGUGUUGGGCUGGGCAGUACAGUAGCAGUGUGUUGGGCUGGGCAGUACAGUAGCAGUGUGUUGGGCUGGGCUGUAGCAGUGUGUUGGGCUGGGCAGUACAGUAGCAGUGUGUUGGGCUGGGCUGUACAGUAGCAGUGUGUUGGGCUGUACAGUGCAGUGUGUUGGGCUGGGCAGUAGCAGUGUGUUGGGCUGGGCAGUAGCAGUGUGUUGGGCUGGGCAGUACAGUAGCAGUGUGUUGGGCUGGGCAGUACAGUAGCAGUGUGUUGGGCUGGGCAGUAGCAGUGUGUUGGGCAGUACAGUAGCAGUGUGUUGGGCUGGGCUGUACAGUAGCAGUGUGUUGGGCUGGGCAGU
ensembl:lncRNA